rnacentral:rRNA from 1 species
CCACCACUAAGCCAGUGGUGAACUCCACAUACGCAUCCUUUGCUGAGGAUACGGUUAACGGAGCGAAAGCGACGUUCAACCUCAAAAGAAGCAGAGGGGGCUUAGUGGUGGGGUGACUGCGUACCUUUUGUAUAAUGGGUCAGCGACUUAUAUUCUGUAGCAAGGUUAACCGAAUAGGGGAGCCGGAGGGAAACCGAGUCUUAACCGGGCGUUAAGUUGCAGGGUAUAGACCCGAAACCCGGUGAUCUAGCCAUGGGCAGGUUGAAGGUUGGGUAACACUAACUGGAGGACCGAACCGACUAAUGUUGAAAAAUUAGCGGAUGACCUGUGGCUGGGGGUGAAAGGCCAAUCAAACCGGGAGAUAGCUGGUUCUCCCCGAAAGCUAUUUAGGUAGCGCCUCGUGAAUUCAUCUCCGGGGGUAGAGCACUGUUUCGGCUAGGGGGUCAUCCCGACUUACCAACCCGAUGCAAACUGCGAAUACCGGAGAAUGUUAUCACGGGAGACACACGGCGGGUGCUAACGUCCGUCGUGAAGAGGGAAACAACCCAGACCGCCAGCUAAGGUCCCAAAGUCAUGGUUAAGUGGGAAACGAUGUGGGAAGGCCCAGACAGCCAGGAUGUUGGCUUAGAAGCAGCCAUCAUUUAAAGAAAGCGUAAUAGCUCACUGGUCGAGUCGGCCUGCGCGGAAGAUGUAACGGGGCUAAACCAUGCACCGAAGCUGCGGCAGCGACACUAUGUGUUGUUGGGUAGGGGAGCGUUCUGUAAGCCUGCGAAGGUGUCUCGUGAGGGAUGCUGGAGGUAUCAGAAGUGCGAAUGCUGACAUAAGUAACGAUAAUGCGGGUGAAAAACCCGCACGCCGGAAGACCAAGGGUUCCUGUCCAACGUUAAUCGGGGCAGGGUGAGUCGACCCCUAAGGCGAGGCCGAAAGGCGUAGUCGAUGGGAAACAGGUUAAUAUUCCUGUACUUGGUGUUACUGCGAAGGGGGGACGGAGAAGGCUAUGUUGGCCGGGCGACGGUUGUCCCGGUUUAAGCGUGUAGGUGUGUGUUCCAGGUAAAUCCGGUUCACUUUAACACUGAGGCGUGAUGACGAGGCACUACGGUGCUGAAGCAACAAAUGCCCUGCUUCCAGGAAAAGCCUCUAAGCAUCAGGUAACAUCAAAUCGUACCCCAAACCGACACAGGUGGUCAGGUAGAGAAUACCAAGGCGCUU